rnacentral:rRNA from 1 species
CUACAUUACCUAGCGGCGGACGGGUGAGUAAUGCUUAGGAAUCUGCCUAUUAGUGGGGGACAACAUUCCGAAAGGGAUGCUAAUACCGCAUACGUCCUACGGGAGAAAGCAGGGGACCUUCGGGCCUUGCGCUAAUAGAUGAGCCUAAGUCGGAUUAGCUAGUUGGUGGGGUAAAGGCCUACCAAGGCGACGAUCUGUAGCGGGUCUGAGAGGAUGAUCCGCCACACUGGGACUGAGACACGGCCCAGACUCCUACGGGAGGCAGCAGUGGGGAAUAUUGGACAAUGGGGGGAACCCUGAUCCAGCCAUGCCGCGUGUGUGAAGAAGGCCUUAUGGUUGUAAAGCACUUUAAGCGAGGAGGAGGCUACCUAGAUUAAUACUCUAGGAUAGUGGACGUUACUCGCAGAAUAAGCACCGGCUAACUCUGUGCCAGCAGCCGCGGUAAUACAGAGGGUGCGAGCGUUAAUCGGAUUUACUGGGCGUAAAGCGUGCGUAGGUGGCUAAUUAAGUCAAAUGUGAAAUCCCCGAGCUUAACUUGGGAAUUGCAUUCGAUACUGGUUAGCUAGAGUAUGGG